rnacentral:lncRNA from 1 species
CUCCACAGUCGGGGUCAUCGUGACCUACGACUGAAACUUGCUUGAUGAAAGACUCCACUAAGAAAACGCUUUUGUAUUCUCAUGGAGAGCACAGGCUUGGAUGCUCUGCUUCGUUGAGGCUUCUGUUCAAACAAAUAAGGAGGUCUAUGUGCAUGUGUGCGUGUAAGAGUGAUGGGCCGCAGCCCGUUGCCAGCUAGCUCAGAUGACCAUCUGCCAGUUGAAAAUACUGCUUUGUCAUGUGUCGUCUGAGUCUUUGCUACGCUAACCUGAACUCCCACAGCAAGGUCCCACAUGUAAAAGAGCAGUGUUCUUGGAGAAAUCAGCUUGACCACCAUGAGAACGGUGCAUAGAUGGGAACAUGCUGUAUUUUGGGAGUGGGUGGGAGGUUCCAG